rnacentral:lncRNA from 1 species
GUGCAUUUUUGCUAUUCUAAUUGAAAUUAAAGCUUCAUCAGCCUUAUUUUAUUGGUGUAGCCCGUUUUCUACUUCACUAGAGCUCGGACAAAAUAGACAGGAAUACAUCCAGUAAGAAGGUCUCCUCUGAUCUUUCGUUUCGAUGAGCACAUACUCCCUGCAAAUGGUUAACCGGGGAGCACGUAAUAACAAGGAAGGGGCCAGGAAUGACAAACCACCAACUCCCACCACUUCUGCAAACCCUUCGCCGUUGCACAUAAAGGCAAAGCCAUUUCUUAAAGCAAUGCAGGAUGUUACCACAGGCUGACGCUCUUUCUACAAGAAUAAUGAGCCGGUCCCCGCGCUGAAUGCGGAACUCCUCACUUCACAGCUUUUUUCCCUCAGACUUCACUUUCCGCUCAAUAUUUACAAAAUAAAGCCUACAACCACCUCACGGCCAAAAAUAUUCCCAGAACAAUUAGGGUGUUUAGCAUUCUCUGCUCCUUCGCGCUUCCCUAGCGCCUUGAGAGAGUGCUUCAACUGAGCAGGGGGGGAAGGAAGAAGUUACCCACGCGAACCCGCUCCGCCGGGGAGCGGCCGCACCCCACGCAGCGCUGCCCCCCACGCACGGGACCGGCGCUGCCCCACGGGGAACCCGACAGCGGGGCCGCUCCUCCCGGCAGCACCACGCCGACGGCGCUCCCCCCAGGCACCGCCGAAGCGGCGGGCUGCCCGUCGGCCCCGUGGGCAUCCGGCCACGGGUGGCACUCCGGGCGGGGAGAAGCUUUGAGCGGCCCAAGUUGGGAGGGCGGCAGGCUGCGGAGACGUGCCGCCCAGCGUGAAAGUGAAACGGGCGCCGCGCCGAGCUCUCCCCGCUGCCCGGUGACAACGCCCCGGAGGGACCCCACCACCGCUCCCCACGGGGAAAAACCAGACCGGCGCCUCCCGCCGCCACUCGCUCCCCGCACCGCCGGGGCAACCCCUUCCUCUCCGCUCAGGAGAAGCGGCGCCAGCCCACCCCGCCGAACGCCUUCUCCGGGGGCAGGAGGGGAGCAACCCCGCGCCCGCUCGGCGAAACGGGAUACGGAGGGCACCAACGGCCACGCAGAGACCCCGCAGAAAUUAACAGGCAAUGGGGCUGUGAAUAAUGAAGUCAAAGGCAGCUUUCUCCCUUGCAUCCCACUGGAAGUCCAGAUUGAAGGUAACUUUGGAUGA